GUAGUGGUAGCUGAAUGGUUAAGGCUCUGGGUUACUGAGCAGCUAAUCAGGGGUUCAAGCCCCAGCACCACCACA